UGGUUGCCAUAACUCCGAGCUUACUAUGCUAAGUCCAAGGAUAAGCAUUUUGAGCCAGUGACAUUCUGUCACAAGGGCAUAAUUGGAAAUGAUUAUGCCUCCCGUGUUUGGAAAGGUGUUCCGUGGCGCAACAA
rnacentral:ncRNA from 1 species